UGCAAGUCGAACGGUGAAAGAGGAGCUUGCUCCUCUGGAUCAGUGGCGAACGGGUGAGUAACACGUGAGUAACCUGCCCCAGACUCUGGGAUAAGCACUGGAAACGGUGUCUAAUACCGGAUACGAGCUUCAGCCGCAUGGCUAGGAGCUGGAAAGAAUUUCGGUCUGGGAUGGACUCGCGGCCUAUCAGCUAGUUGGUGAGGUAAUGGCUCACCAAGGCGACGACGGGUAGCCGGCCUGAGAGGGUGACCGGCCACACUGGGACUGAGACACGGCCCAGACUCCUACGGGAGGCAGCAGUGGGGAAUAUUGCACAAUGGGCGCAAGCCUGAUGCAGCAACGCCGCGUGAGGGACGACGGCCUUCGGGUUGUAAACCUCUUUUAGUAGGGAAGAAGCGAAAGUGACGGUACCUGCAGAAAAAGCA
rnacentral:rRNA from 1 species